rnacentral:rRNA from 1 species
AUUGAACGCUGGCGGCAGGCCUAACACAUGCAAGUCGAGCGGAUGAAGGGAGCUUGCUCCUGGAUUCAGCGGCGGACGGGUGAGUAAUGCCUAGGAAUCUGCCUGGUAGUGGGGGAUAGCGUCCGGAAACGGGCGCUAAUACCGCAUACGUCCUGAGGGAGAAAGUGGGGGAUCUUCGGACCUCACGCUAUCAGAUGAGCCUAGGUCGGAUUAGCUAGUUGGUGGGGUAAAGGCCUACCAAGGCGACGAUCCGUAACUGGUCUGAGAGGAUGAUCAGUCACACUGGAACUGAGACACGGUCCAGACUCCUACGGGAGGCAGCAGUGGGGAAUAUUGGACAAUGGGCGAAAGCCUGAUCCAGCCAUGCCGCGUGUGUGAAGAAGGUCUUCGGAUUGUAAAGCACUUUAAGUUGGGAGGAAGGGCAGUAAGUUAAUACCUUGCUGUUUUGACGUUACCAACAGAAUAAGCACCGGCUAACUUCGU